ACACGUAAGGGGCAAGCGUUGUUCGGAAUUAUUGGGCGUAAAGGGCGUGUAGGCGGUUUUGUAAGCCUGGUGUAAAAGGUGUACGCUUAACGUACAUAGGUCGCUGGGGACUGCGAGACUAGAGUUUAGGAAGGGGAGCUGGAAUUCCAGGUGUAGGGGUGAAAUCUGUAGAUAUCUGGAAGAACACCAAUGGCGAAGGCAAGCUUCUGGCCAUAGACUGACGCUGAGGCGCGAAAGCGUGGGGAGCAAACAGGAUUAGAUACCCUGGUAGUCCACGCUGUAAACGAUGUGCACUAGGUGUUGGUGCGAAUGCAUCAGUGCCGAAGUUAACGCGAUAAGUGCACCGCCUGGGGAGUAUGCUCGCAAGGGUGAA
rnacentral:rRNA from 1 species